CCGUACCCACUACCGAUUGAAUGGCUUAGUGAGCACCUCCGGUUUAUCUCAGAAGUGGGGCAACCCAUUGUCAGAGAUGAAGAAGUUGGUCAAACUUGGUCAUUUAGAGGAAGUAAAAGUCGUAACAAGGUUUCCGUAGGUGAACCUGCGGAAGGAUCAUUAUUGAAUUUUUGAUUUUAACAAUCUUAUAUUCUUGUGAACUUUAUAAACUUUGCUUGGGUAAUAGUAUUGGAGACUUUAUUGUUACCCAAAGUUUUUUACAAAAACACUUUAUUAAAAAAAAAAAACACCAAAACGAUUCUGAAAAUUUUUAAAAAAUUAAAUUAAAACUUUCAACAACGGAUCUCUUGGUUCUCGCAUCGAUGAAGAACGCAGCAAAAUGCGAUAAGUAAUGUGAAUUGCAGAAUUGUGAAUCAUCGAAUCUUUGAACGCACAUUGCGCCUUUUGGUAUUCCAAAAGGCAUGCCUGUUUGAGCGUGAUUACAUCUUCUUAAAUCAACUUUAUUGUUUGACUUUAAGGUAUUGGAAAUUUUGUACUAUUUUUAAGCACAAUUUUCUGAAAUACAUUGGUGAUCUUGUGAAAUUCCAAUUUAUAAAAAAACGUAUUAGGUUUUAUCCACUCGUUUUUUAAUUAUAAUAUUGACUUUUCACAAAUUUAUAAGAUCUGUCCAUAAUUUGUUUUAUCACUUUCCACCUCAAAUCAAGUAGGACUACCCGCUGAACUUAAGCAUAUCAAUAAGCGGAGGAAAAGAAACCAACAGGGAUUGCCUUAGUAGCGGCGAGUGAAGCGGCAAAAGCUCAAAUUUGAAAUCUGGUACUUUCAGUAUCCGAGUUGUAAUUUGUAGAAGCAACUUUGGUGAUGGUCUUUGCAUAAGUUCCUUGGAAUAGGACGUCAUAGAGGGUGAGAAUCCCGUAUAGGUAAGAACCCACACUAUGUAAAGGCUUCGAA
rnacentral:rRNA from 1 species